rnacentral:rRNA from 1 species
UGGUCAAGUUAUUAAGGGUGCAGGGCGGAUGCCUUGGCACUAGGAGCCGAUGAAGGACGUGAUAAGCUGCGAUAAGCUUCGGGGAGUUGCACGUAAACUUUGAUCCGAAGAUUUCCGAAUGAGGAAACUCACUUAGAGUAAUGUCUAAGUAUCAUUAAGUGAAUACAUAGCUUAAUGAGGGGAACUCAGGGAACUGAAACAUCUAAGUACCUGAAGGAAGAGAAAGAAAUUCGAUUCCGUAAGUAGCGGCGAGCGAACGCGGAUUAGCCCAAACCAAUAAAGUUUUCUUUAUUGGGGUUGAGGACAUAC